GACGAACGCUGGCGGCGUGCCUAAUACAUGCAAGUCGAACGAGUGGCGGACGGGUGAGUAAUGUCUGUGAAACUGCCCGAUGGCGGGGGAUAACUACUGGAAACGGUUGCUAAUACCGCAUAUCAUCGGAUGUGCCCAGAUGGGCUUAGCUAGUAGGUGGGGUAACGGCUCACCUAGGCGCCGAUCCCUACCUGGUCUGAGAGGAUGACCAGCCACACUGGAACUGAGACACGGUCCAGACUCCUACGGGAGGGAGCAGUGGGGAAUAUUGGACAAUGUGCGCAAGCCUGAUGCAGCCAUGCCGCGUGUAUGAAGAAGGCCUUCGGGUUGUAAAGUACGUUCAGCGAGGAGGCGUUACUCGCAGAAGAAGCACCGGCUAACUCCGUGCCAGCAGCCGCGGUAAUUC
rnacentral:rRNA from 1 species